GAUGUUGGUGAACGCGGUACUAUCGAUAAUACUAUCGUAUUUUUGCAAUUCUAUUGCAAUUAUUAUUAUUUCAAUUCAAUUAAAUUAUAGCAUUGAAGUACCCUACAGAAAAUAUGUCUAAUUUUUUUAAAACAGAUCCCUAAGCGUUUUUCUUAAAACCCGCGUUCAUAAGCAAAAGCUUCAUGAAAGUGAACUUCACCGAGAAGAACAAGAUUAAAGAGAGCAAUAGUAAACAACAAGUGUCGUCGUCGAUAAGCGUAAUGCGAAGUAGUAAAAGUAAACGCAUCAUCAGUUUAUCUAGAAAAGAUAACAUUGAUUCCCGGGAUGAUAUUCUUUCGAAAAGUGGACUACAGUUCUGUCGAAAAGAAGACACUUCCGAAAUCUAGGUAGCAUUCACACAGCUUAAAUUGCCAAGUUAAAGAUUCAUUAAAAUCCGCUAAAAUAAAAUUUCCUAGCCCAACGGCUUCAUUAAGUCGACGAUUUCCUCAGUGACGGACAUGGCGACAUGAACUCAUAAUAACUUGAAGCUCACCCAAAUUGAUAGCAAUCCAGCGGACUUAAGCGCAGUGAUCUAAAGACUCAAGAUAAAGAAUUCGAGACGUUUGAGACAUAUUCAAAGCCUUUGGUGAGCUGUAUUCCUUACGUAUUCACAUCGUGACUUUGGCUUUGUUGACUAAAUCUCCAAGUAGAGUCCGAAAGCGCCUUCAACACUUUUAGAGCCAGUACUCAUUUCUACUGCCGUCAAUUGGUGCUUGAGUAGAGCGCCAAAGAUAAACAACCUGGGCGUGGAGGAGCAUUGCAAACAGACGGUGAUCUAAUUCGGCGCCAGUCUGGCAGCCUAUUCGCCGAAACGCGGUUAAAAAUCCCUCUUCGUUGUAGAGGGAUAAGUGCAGUCAAAUCAAGAGGACGAGGAAAAGCAAUAAUAUCCAGGCCUAGCUUGAAAAUGUAUAAAGUAGACAAUAUAAUUUUUAAAAUAUUCAUAUAAAAAAAACUGCCCUGAAACAUAAUUACAAUGCCUGAAUGAUAAUCUCGAAGCCCUAUAGCAAUAUCU
rnacentral:lncRNA from 1 species